rnacentral:rRNA from 1 species
GCUAUACAUGCAGUCGAGCGACAGAUAAGGAGCUUGCUCCUUUGAAGUUAGCGGCGGACGGGUGAGUAACACGUGGGUAACCUACCUAUAAGACUGGGAUAACUUCGGGAAACCGGAGCUAAUACCGGAUAACAUUUGAACCGCAUGGUUCUAAAGUGAAAGAUGGUUUUGCUAUCACUUAUAGAUGGACCCGCGCCGUAUUAGCUAGUUGGUAAGGUAACGGCUUACCAAGGCGACGAUACGUAGCCGACCUGAGAGGGUGAUCGGCCACACUGGAACUGAGACACGGUCCAGACUCCUACGGGAGGCAGCAGUAGGGAAUCUUCCGCAAUGGGCGAAAGCCUGACGGAGCAACGCCGCGUGAGUGAUGAAGGGUUUCGGCUCGUAAAACUCUGUUAUUAGGGAAGAACAAAUGUGUAAGUAACUGUGCACAUCUUGACGGUACCUAAUCAGAAAGCCACGGCUAACUACGUGCCAGCAGCCGCGGUAAUACGUAGGUGGCAAGCGUUAUCCGGAAUUAUUGGGCGUAAAGCGCGCGUAGGCGGUUUCUUAAGUCUGAUGUGAAAGCCCACGGCUCAACCGUGGAGGGUCAUUGGAAACUGGGAAACUUGAGUGCAGAAGAGGAAAGUGGAAUUCCAUGUGUAGCGGUGAAAUGCGCAGAGAUAUGGAGGAACACCAGUGGCGAAGGCGACUUUCUGGUCUGUAACUGACGCUGAUGUGCGAAAGCGUGGGGAUCAAACAGGAUUAGAUACCCUGGUAGUCCACGCCGUAAACGAUGAGUGCUAAGUGUUAGGGGGUUUCCGCCCCUUAGUGCUGCAGCUAACGCAUUAAGCACUCCGCCUGGGGAGUACGACCGCAAGGUUGAAACUCAAAGGAAUUGACGGGGACCCGCACAAGCGGUGGAGCAUGUGGUUUAAUUCGAAGCAACGCGAAGAACCUUACCAAAUCUUGACAUCCUUUGAAAACUCUAGAGAUAGAGCCUUCCCCUUCGGGGGACAAAGUGACAGGUGGUGCAUGGUUGUCGUCAGCUCGUGUCGUGAGAUGUUGGGUUAAGUCCCGCAACGAGCGCAACCCUUAAGCUUAGUUGCCAUCAUUAAGUUGGGCACUCUAGGUUGACUGCCGGUGACAAACCGGAGGAAGGUGGGGAUGACGUCAAAUCAUCAUGCCCCUUAUGAUUUGGGCUACACACGUGCUACAAUGGACAAUACAAAGGGCAGCUAAACCGCGAGGUCAUGCAAAUCCCAUAAAGUUGUUCUCAGUUCGGAUUGUAGUCUGCAACUCGACUACAUGAAGCUGGAAUCGCUAGUAAUCGUAGAUCAGCAUGCUACGGUGAAUACGUUCCCGGGUCUUGUACACACCGCCCGUCACACCACGAGAGUUUGUAACACCCGAAGCCGGUGGAGUAACCAUUUAUGGAGCUAGCCGU